rnacentral:lncRNA from 1 species
UUGUCUCCUGGAUGAAGUCUAGUCCCAAAUGAUGCUAGUUUCCAACUUCGAUCUAACAAGUGGGAGAACGACAAGACCUACCGUAUAGGGCUUCAUACGGAGCCAUGCCAAUACAGUAAUGAUAAUUGUUAUUAUAAGCAAAUUCACACAGGGAAGAUACUCAUACCAGUUAUCACCAAAGUCAAGGACACAAACACGCAAAAUAUCUUCCAACGUCUGGAUAAUACGUUUUGACUGACCAU